AUUGGAGCCUAGUCCUUCUGGACCCGGCCAGUUUAGCUUCUUUCCCGCGCCGGCGGAGCAUUUACGUGGACCUCAGGAAGCUCUCAGUCUAGUCCUAGCGACCCACAACCAACCGGGGUUCGUGCCGGCACGCGGUGCAGACACUAUUGAUCACUUCUUAGGGAUCGAGCACUUGAUAUCAACUGUUACUACUGUCCGUAAACUGAUUAGACAUACAAAUUUAGUUGUUUUCCCCAGGUUACAAGUCAGAGACGGAGGCUCUUAGAAAUGAAGUGAGCUACGAUUCAAACACAAGUCUUUAGAUUUCCUUUGUCCUUUUUAGUCUGUGGCAUGAGUUACAUAAUAGUCUUUCCUUGAUAGUGUAAAGGAAGGUCAAACUAAAAGCUUGGUGUGUGUGUUUGUGAGAGAGACAUACACAGUGUUGCGGCAAUACAGAUGUUUGCCUCUAGCCUGGGGAGGGCACUUAUGCAGAGGGGCCAAGACAGGAAACUUGACGUCACUAUGGGCAGUAGAGAAUAUCAUCCAAGACUUAAGUGAAGCAGACCUGUCAGGCUGGGACUAAGCAAUUCAUUUUGGCUAGAAGCUAUUGCCCAGUACAACAGACUCUAUUCUUCAUCACCUGAGGCUAUUAGCCAACAGAAGGUGUGGACAAAUGUUUAGGGAAGGCAGAAGCCAUGCCUUUGAGAAGAUCUGCUUCCACAAAAUUACUCUUCUUUAAUGGUAACUUGCCAAAAGCCUGCUGUCCCGAUACUUAAAUGCAUUAAAAAAAAAAAUCUGUUCUGUGGAAAA